rnacentral:lncRNA from 1 species
CCAUGACCUACUAGCUAUACUACAGAGAUAUCAUCAGGAGUACUUAGCGAGGUGUCACCCUCGGUACCCAAUAGUAUCUCUGUAGCGUCGUACAACUAAGGGGGUUGUAUGUGCUGUGUCGGGUCUGGCUCGUCGAUCAGGGAUCGAGAUUUGAAAGCAAAGUGGAGCAACUGGACUACGGGGUCAGAAGGGAUGACUGCUCCACCUAUACUAACCAGAUUUGAAGUAUAGUACUGAAAGUAGGAGUUCAUCAAAAAUAGGCAAUGCAUCAGAUAUAGGAGCUAACUACAACAGUAGCAAAAUUAUAAUUCAAGCAUGAAGAAGAAAGAAUAGGCGAUAUAGGAAUGAUCAAGGGGGGAUUGCUUGCCUUGUUGCUCUGCGGCAAAGGCUGGUCGGCAGGGUCGUAGAUGUACCCGACAGCAGUGUGAGUCUCGGGGUCUACCGGUAAGAAGAGGGGGAAGAAACAAUAAAUAAUAGAAACGGUGCAACAUGAUGCAUGUCAUGGCAAUAUGCAGCUAGGCAUGAGCUAACGCAGGAAACAUCCGUCAUAGAUGGGUCGGAAGAAUAUCUCACGAUAUUAUCCGGGUCUCGGGCUACUACCUGACGGACGAAAGAUGAUGGAAAAGUUCCACGUUUGCUAUGCUAGGGACGCGUGACAAACGAAUAGAACGUGUAUCCUGGUUCGUGUCGUUCUGCUGAUUAACUUUCAUGUUGAAAAUAUUUUGAUCUGACUUGCGGAUUAUUUAAUUAGAUUUAAUUAAAUUGAUUAAAUGCAAUUAUGACAUCGCAUCAUGCUGACAUCACAAGUUGACAGGUCAACUGACCAGUGGGUCUCAUGCGUCAUAGAUCCAGUUUUUAAUUAGGGUUAAUUAUUAAUUAAUCAGGUUAAUUUAGUGGGGGACCCACGUGUCAUACUCUAAUUAUCCUAAUU